GUCGGUUGAAUCCGCGGAGGCGGGACUCGCGGAUACAGAGCCUGCAGCUGUGCGGCCAACUGAGGGGCCUGAGCGUCCGUGGUUUGGGCAUCGAUGCCCCGUGGGUACCAGCGAUGACUGUCUAAAGGAGGGAGCAGACCUUAGCAGUGUCAUCUGUAAAACUCAACACACAGCAUUAAUUCCGAAUACUUAUUCACAUAGACACUGACGUGGAGACAGACGGAGAGCCACGCAGAAGGAACAAGCGCUGGGGCCACAGAGAAAAGAACCAGGAAACUCGGCGCGCCACGGAGAGGGUGAAGCACGACCAGGACCACCCUCGCUUGCAGGGACGCCCACGUGCUCUGGCAAGGAGCGAAGUGAACGAAGCCAGGGUCUCCUUCAGCGUCUCAUUCACACACAGGGACACUGAGGUUGACUGCACAGUAAAAAUACACGGGUAUACAUGUACGUGUGCAGGUGCGAGCACGUGUGCGUGUACAUAUAAAUACACAAUCGUGUACGUACGUAGGCAGGUAUUUCUCAUUCAAAGUACCUUUGACUGUUUAUCCACUUCUCCAUGAAGGCACCAUUUCAAGUGUUACAGAGACACGUCUGCACCGGGGGCUGUUCCCCGACUCCUGACACCAAGAUCUCAGUGCCCACAACGUGCACACGCCACCAGCGCCCAUCUCCCUGUAAACGCGACUGGUUCGUGCUCUGAGCCUGCGCACGGCGGAACCCAAACAUUUCCGAACGAACAAAGUCGGCCGGCGGAGGGCCGGGGACUAAUAUCUUUUCAGUUACAUUUCAGUUUAUUCCCCAGGAAUGAAAGUCGCAGAGUGUCCGUUACCAAUAAACAGGGAGAUAAGGACAAACGAUGUGCUCUUUUAAAUUUAUUUCUCCUCGGGUAUUAAGCUGUUUCAACUGCAAUUUUGUUUCCAAAAUAUAACAAUCUGAGAAAUAUGAACCGAAGAGGAACCAGAAUCUCUGCUAAAAUAUCCUACAACCAGCCAAAUUACAGGGGACACACGUCUUCCACACAACUGAGGGGUCAAUGAGGUCCACACCUGCAGAUCCAGCGCCACCCGGAGAGAGCUUCACAGCUCAAAGACAGACUGUCACUCUUCUGAAAAGUAAACAUCCCUAUCCUAGCUUUUACAACUUUGCUGAAUUGUUUUAAAAAGAAAUAUUCUACUUUAAAAUAUGUAAGAUUCCAUUUAUUACGGAGCAAGGAGAGUUCUGUUGCUUCCCACCCUCCCCAGCACUUGGUGUUGUCCGUGUCCUGGAUUUCGGCCGUUCUAACAGGUAAAGUGGUUCCUGCAACAUGCAGUGGUAACAUUUCACCUCUCCUACCAGCAACAGAUGAAAAGUUCAAAAAACCGCUCACCCAAAUUUUUCAUCACCUCUUCCCAAGAAACCAACCCAAACUAGAGCACUAAGACAUUUGAUACAAGGCAACAUCAAACUGACACAAGGUUGCAGACCACUGAGAGAGUGACAGACACCAGCUACUGCCCCACGUUCCUGCUGCAAAAACACACGUGUUCCCUGGGAAAUCUCAGGGACUCCAGAGAUCACUGGCUUUGCUCUGGUAAAUACGGAGGAGGCUUUCUGGUGGAGGAAACAAUGCACCAGAAGAAGUCAGGUACGGGCAGAUGAUAGAUACGGAAAGUGGGAAGAGUUAAUGAGAGCAGAACGUCCUAACAAGUUGCUUUUCAGCUCUCUCUUAAUUAGGAUUCUCAGCAGCGGUGGGGCUGGUACCCGCCACCACCUCCCUCUGGCACUCAGACUUUAUUCUCCACUGGAACUCCUUGGAAGACAGCAAUUCCAUGUCUGGAGACAAGAAAAAAAUCAGGAUACACAUGAAACAUCCUGUUGUUACUAAAAAGCAAGAAUAACCUCAAGGAUGCCAGGGGCUGUGCUAAAGCGACAAAGAGUCACGUGAAGCCGGGAGGGGGUUUCAGUGGACAAGUUGUGACCAUCAGACCAAAACUUAAUAAUAAGAAGAAGAAGAAUAGCAAGUGGAAUAAGUUAAAUCUGUAUAAAAGCCAAAGUCCAUAAUGAAAUUCAGGUGAAUAGAAUUAAUAUAGUGUUUUAAGAACACAAUUGAAAUACCAAGAAAAAUAUAACUAAACAUCUACUUGUUAUUGAUUUUAAUACAUAGAAACAAAUAGGUACAUGAGGAUGUUUUGUUUCUUCUGAUCAGCAUUAGUCUGUUCAUAAGCAUAAUUAUGCUCUUUAUUCUGUCUUUGAAAGCAGAAAACUGAAUAAAAGUUGGAGUGAGACAGAUUCUGUAAAAGCAGAGACUAUACAAGAACAGAAAGGAUCAAGCAGCAGCAGGUCACAUAUAAUUAACCAGAGAGAAAGUAGCCAACAAUUUAGGGCACCACUUGUCACAAAAGAAGAAAGUUUAUUCCAAAAUGAUAAAUUAGCCAAAUCUCCUCAGAGAAGAGCUAACCACACAGACCCAGCCCUCAUCUCCUAGGAGACAAAACCUCUAAACAGUUCUCCUAUUUAUAAUGAAAGCUGUUAAAGCAACACAUACAUUUUUAGUAAUAAUAACAGACCAGAUUGAUAUGCCAUAAGAAAUACAAGGUGCACAAACCUUUAAAAAAAAUGCGACAUUAGUGGAAAAAGACCAAGUCUCCCAAAAUCCAAAACCACACAAAAACGGGGGCAUAAGAGUCUAAUGACAUAACACUUACUUGACCACAUAAAAGGGAUCCAUCUGAAUAUCAGUGGUUUGUGCCUCAACUGCCUGGCUCUGCAAAGCUGCCCCACUCACCAAAAGUCCACUGCCCAAGACCCGCAGAGGCAGCUGGGAAACCUAAGACCUGAGCCUUUUAAAAGUUGUAGGAGCGUGAAUUCCAAAAUUAUAAUCUUACGAAAUAGAUUACUUAGAGGAAGAAGGAAAAUUUUCUUAAUAUGGUUAGUCAAAAGUAUAACAUUUUAUAAUAUCCUAUAAGGGUUUUUACUAGCUUUAGAACCAUUGUGGUAUUUUUGUCUGUGUUUGUCAAGAAGUUCAGAACACAGUGUUUAAGAGAUUCUGCUAUGUGAGAACUGAGAAUUAAAUUAAAUGUUUCUAAAUGGCUGCAUACUUUCUAAAUUGGUAUUUAAAUGUUUAGAAAACUCUUCUUUGUUAACUCCACAAUGCAUUAAUUAACCAUAUAUAUGAUGUGCAAACACAUGGGGCAAGGUUGACUGUUUAAUGCUAAAAUAAAAAUUAUUUAAUAAGUGCAUAAAAUUAGUUGAGUAUCAAACAAUAUAAAAAGUGAGUAAAUAGUUCCUUCCCAAAAACGUCCCUGCAGAAUGAAAGCAUCCGUGAAGAACUAACAAAUUUUCUCUUCCCAAGAGUGUGGUUGGCCAGACACUCUGUU